CACGUAGGGGGCAAGCGUUGUCCGGAUUUAUUGGGCGUAAAGAGCUCGUAGGCGGCUCAGUAAGUCAGGUGUGAAACCUCCAGGCUCAACCUGGAGACGCCACCUGAUACUGCUGUGGCUAGAGUCCGGUAGGGGAGCGUGGAAUUCCUGGUGUAGCGGUGAAAUGCGCAGAUAUCAGGAGGAACACCAGUGGCGAAGGCGGCACUCUGGGCCGGAACUGACGCUGAGGAGCGAAAGCGUGGGGAGCGAACAGG
rnacentral:rRNA from 1 species